rnacentral:lncRNA from 1 species
GUAAAGAUUUGGUAUUGUAAGCAGUAACUAUUAUUCUUGUAGAGAGAAGUGAUAGGUCUAUCCAACAUUACAGUUUGAAUUCAUGAUUUCAGUCGAAGUUUUUAUAUGGCAUGCUUAGUUAGAGAUCGGAAUCAAAAUUAAAAUUAAAAUUAAAAUAAAUUAAAAUAAAAUUUGAAAUGAUCACACUGUUGUAAAACUCCGAG